rnacentral:ncRNA from 1 species
AUAAAAGCUUAGAAGAGAUGAGUAAUUACUUAAGACUUCUGCAGAGAGUCGGGUUUGGUGCAAGCCGAUGUGGUUGAGAGUAAUGAAUAUGGUCUUGGAGCUAUUUUAAAGAGCAAGCUGUUAAGUAAGCAAUUUACGAGUGACGAUCGUUACCCCGUCCGAGUAUUCCCAAUUUUGGGAGCACUUAGUAAGGAGUUAGUUGUGAAGCUAACUUGAAUUUGGGUGGUAACACGCUUAGGCGUCCCUAGC